GGAGAGACUUCUGGCUCUCCACAUUCCUCACUUCAUUUCCUACACAUUUUUGUGCCUUUUUCGGUGAAAGCAAAUAUAGGAUAAGAUACAGAAAAAGGGUAAAAGACCCCUUUCGGUCAUGAAUGACUCUGGGAUUGAACCUAGAAAGUUCCCCGCUUUGGCACGUGUGCGGGCAAGGUUGUUUAUUUGGUACCCAUGUGUACCAACCUCACUUUUAUUCAACGCCUCCUUGGAAUUUUCCACCACUUCGAGGGGAUCAAUACCGCUUACUUUUGGAAUCACUGGAUAAGACUACUGAUGCAAGAGUGAAAUUGAACCAGUGCGUGUGUUAAUAGUAUUGAUAUGAUCACCGGACGACAUGCUUAGCGGUAUUUCGUCCGUCUUUACGUUCUGAGUUCAUAUUCCGCCGAGGUCGACUUUGCAUUUCAUCCUUUCAGGGUCGAUAAAUUAAGUACCAGUUACGCACUGGGGUCGAUGUAAUCGACUUAAUACCUAUGUCUGUCCUUGUUUCUCCCUUCUGUGUUUAGCCCCUUGUGGGUAAUAAAGAAAUAGGUAUUUCGUCCGUCUUUACGUUCUGAGUUCAAAUUCCGCCGAGGUCGACUUUGCAUUUCAUCCUUUCGGGGUCGAUAAAUUAAGUACCAGUUACGCACUGGGGUCGAUGUAAUCGACUUAAUACCUAUGUCUGUCCUUGUUUGUCCCUUUUGUGUUUAGCCCCUUGUGGGUAAUAAAGAAAUAGGUAUUUCGUCCGUCUUUACGUUCUGAGUUCAAAUUCCGCCGAAGUCGACUUUGCAUUUCAUCCUUUCGGGGUCGAUAAAUUAAGUACCAGUUACGCACUGGGGUCGAUGUAAUCGACUUAAUACCUAUGUCUGUCCUUGUUUGUCCCUUUUGUGUUUAGCCCCUUGUGGGUAAUAAAGAAAUAGGUAUUUCGUCCGUCUUUACGUUCUGAGUUCAAAUUCCGCCGAAGUCGACUUUGCAUUUCAUCCUUUCGGGGGUCGAUAAAUUAAGUACCAGUUGCGUACUUGGGUCGAUCCAAUCAACUACUCCCUCCCUCCAAAAAUUUCGGGCCUUGUGCCUAGAUUAGAAACAAAACGAAUAAUAUCGAUGACUGUCUUAUGCACAACAAUAUUUACUCUUUUACUCUUUACUCUUUACUCUUUUACUUGUUCCAGUCAUUUGACUGCGGCCAUGCUGGAGCACCGCCUUUAGUCGAGCAACUCGACCCCGGGACUUAUUCUUUUCGUAAGCCCAGUACUUAUUCUAUCGGUCUCUUUUUGCCGAACCGCUAAGUGACGGGGACGUAAACACACCAGCAUCGGUUGUCAAGCAAUGCUAGGGGAACAAACACAGACACACAAACACACACACAUACAUAUAUAUAUAUACAUAUAUACAAGAUAAGAAAAUGGAGAAAUACAUCUAAAUCAAAUAUCAAUUACCAGAUAAUACUCAAUCACAUACUUUAUUAAACCACCACAUAAGAGACUGUAGGGUUAGAUAUAAAAAGCAGAACAAAUCAGUAUACAUAAAGGAAUGUAUAUAAAAAAGUGUACAUAUGGCGGUGCCCCUGCAUGGCCACAGCUCAUGAGCUGAAACUAGAAUCAAUCAAUCAUAUCCCAUGGAGGGUUGCAUUUACAACCCCUAUCUCAAUUUGUAUAUACAUAUAUAUAUAUGAAUACAUAUAUAUAAUAUGUUUGUGUGUGUGUAUGUGCGUGUGUGUGUGUGUGUGUGUGUGUGUGUGUGUGUGUGUGUGUGUGUGUGUGUGUGUGUGUGUGUGUGAUUGCCACUUCUGUUUUUGAAGAAGGCCAUCACUUAAGUUCGUAGAUGCUGUCCUGUUGUUUCAUAUGACGAACAAUUCCGGGUUCGGUCAAACAAAAGCUCACCCUACGGAGAUGUUUACAAACAUUUUUCAUACAGAAAUGUGUCUGGGAUUGAAGUGAAGCUCCGUUUGCAAUCUGCUCGUUGAUUGAAGAGGCUUAUAGCAAAAGGCGCUUGGCUCAGUGGUUACAGCGUCGGGCUCGUAAUCAUGAGGUAGUGAGUUCGAUUCCCGGACAGGGCCUGUGUGUUGUGUUCUUUCUUGAGCAAGAAACUUCAUUUCACGUAGCACCAAUUCAGUCAGCUGUAGAAAUGAGUUGUGACGUCACAGAUGCCAAGUUGUAUCGCCCCCUUUCUCGUUCCCUUGAAUAUCAUCAGUGACGUGGAGAAGGCAGGUUUGUAUGCCGGGGUCGACUGGUACUUAUUUAAUCGACCCCGAAAGGAUGAAAGACAAAGCCGAGGUCGACUUUGCCUUUGAUCCUUUCGGGGUCGAUUAAAUAAGUACCAGUUACGCACUGGGGUCGAUAUAAUCGACUUAAUCCGUGUGUCUGUCCUUGUUUGUCCCCUCUGUGUUUAGCCCCUUGUGGGUAGUAAAGAAAUAGGGAUGCAUGAAUGGCUGUUGGUCUUCCAUAAACAACCUUGCCCGGACUUGUACCUGGUAGGGUAACUUUCUAGGUUCAAACCCUUGGUCAUUCAUGACCGAAGGGGCUCUUUAGCCUUUUACUCUCUGUACAUAUAAUGGCGCGGAGAGUGGAGGCUAGUACGCAUGCGUGACUGCUUGUCUUCCAUAAACAACAGACUUCUGUCUCGGAGGGUAACUUUCUAGGUUCAAUCCCAUGGCCAUUCGUAACCGAAGGGGAUCUUUACCCGUUAUAGUAAAGGCACUCGUCCAAGUUACUGCGCACCAGAAAUGAAGCCGAAACGACGUGUUUGAAAAGCGAGCGUCUUAACCACUCAGCCAUACUUGUGUCUCUCGGAUUACUCUUUGUAGCUACUCAAAAUUGAUGAAUGCGUUGAAACCAAAGGGUCGAGUAACCUCGGCUCUUUGAUAAAUAUUUAAACUCCGUCAUAGUCCCGUGAACUGUGUAACUGAGUACGUUUCCGCUCCUUACGUGUACACACAUACAAAAGCACAUGCACAUACACACACACACACACACACACACACACACACACACACACACACACACACACACGCAUACACACAGACACACAGAUAUAUACACGCAGACAUUGACACAGAUACAUACACAAUACACACAUGCGGGCAAGCACAAACACACACACGCACACACACACAAGCACACACACACACACACACACAAACAUACGUUCAAACAUACGUUCACACACAAACAUACGUUCACAGACGCGCGCACACACACACACACAAGCACACACAUACAUACGUACACAGGCGCGCACACACACACAAACAUACAUAACAGACAGACAAAUACACACAAACACACAUACAUACAUACAUACACACAUACACACACUACUUAGGCAUACACAGAGACAGACACAAACAUAUAGACACACACACACACUGACACAGAUACAUACAUACAAACACACACGUGCACACACAAACACACACACACGCACGCACAAGCACGCACAUACACAUACAUACGUACACAGGCUCACACACACAAACAUACAUACAUACAGACAGAUGCACACAAACACACACACCUACAUACACAGACACACACACAUAAGCACACGCAAUCAAAUACAGAUACACACACGCAUACAAACAUACAUACACCAACACACACACAGACACACGCUCGCACACUCACACAGAUACGCACACACACACACACACACACACACACACAUACACAUAGAUAUGUGUGUAUUGCAAAACCUGGAUCUAUAUGUCUGUGUCUCUGUGCAUGGACAUGCGUGCGCAUGUACGGCUGUCGUUUUAGCAAUAUAUAUAUCAUAUGGUUCUAUUUAGCGACUUGAACGUACGUCACAAACUCUAACAGCCGACGCCAUUGUCGUCACUGCCAUCCGCCGCCACCGCCUUCGUCUCUACUGCCCAUAGGCGGCGCCACCGCCUUUGUCGUUAUCUCUAACAACAACAACCAGCCACUACUACCACCACCACCAUCACCGCCACCGCCACCACCACCACCACCACCACCACCACCACCAAAACCACCAUCAUUACAACUACAAACUUUAUCACUACUCUUGUAUUCCAACAUUACCACUACUACCACCACCAUCACCGCCACCAAAACCAAAACUACCACCACCACCACCACCACCACCACCACCGACAACAUCAACAACACUACUACCAAACGAGUAUCAACACCGCCACCGCCACCGCACCACGACCACGGUCACGACUGUGACGACGACCAAACCUCCAGUACCAUCGCCACCACGACCACCACUACCACCACUAACAAACCUCUUCUACCACCACCUCUACCACGACCGAAUCACUACUACCACCACCACUACCACCACCACCACCACCACCACCACUACCACCACCACUACCAUCACCACCACGACCGAUUCUUCAUUACCACCACCACAACCACGACCGAAUCUCUACUACCACCACCACCACCACCAUCACUACCACCACCACUACCACCACCACCACCACCACUAUCUGCACAAACACAACCAUUACCAUUUCCACCAUAACCACCACCACAACUACCACCGCCGCCGCCACCACCGCCACCACCACCGCCACCACCACCACCGCUCUAUACCCUAUUCUUGAGUUGCCUAAAUUUUAACCUUUCCCCCCUUCCCCUGCCCGUCCGCGCUUUCGUUUCUCCCAGCAAUUACCCCCUUCUCCUUCCUCCCUACCCCCGUCACCGAAUCUACCCCCCUCCUCCUUCUCUUCCCUCUACUCCCUCCCUUCCGUGCACUCCACGCUUAUCUUGGCAAUUAAUCUACACCAAAUCACCGCUCUCCCCCCUUCCCCUCCUGUUGCUCUCCUCUUCUCCAUUACUCCUUUGGUGUGUAUCCAUCCCCGUUAUUGCUCUUACCCACACACAGAUACACACACAUGUGCACACAAGCACAUGCACACACACACACACAUACACGCACAUACACAUACAUACGCAUACACACACAUUUAUAUGUACAUACAUACAUACAUACAUACAUACAUAUAUUUAUGUAUGUAUUUGUAUAUAUCUUUUGCUCUUUUACUGGUUUCAGUCAUUUGACUGUGGCCAUGUUGGAGCACCGCCUUUAGUCGAGCACAUCGACCCCAGGACUUAUUCUUUGUAAGCCUAGUACUUAUUCUAUCGGUCCUUUUUGCCGAACCGCUAAGUUACGAUGACGUAAACACACCAGCAUCGGUUGUCAAGCGAUGUUGGAUGGGGGACAAACACAGCAACACAAACAUAUACACUCACAUACAUACAUAUAUACGACAGGCUUCUUUCGGUUUCCGUCUACCAAAUCCACUCACAAGGCUUUGGUAGGCCCGAGGCUAUAGCAGAAGACACUUGCCCAAGGUACCACGCAGUGGGAAUGAACCCGGAACCAAGUUGUUGGUAAGCAAGCUACUUACCACACAGCCACUCCUACGCCUGUAUAUACAUAUAGAAAUACAUACAUGCAUAACUUAUUUGUCACCAAUAAAAUAAUAAAAAUAAUACACACACACACACAUACAUCCAUAUGUAUACACCCUGGUAUCGAAUACGAACGUGUACAGGCGUGGCUGUGGUAAGCAGCUGGUUGCGAAUUCACAUAGAGUCAGGUUCAGUACUAGAACAAGUAUUACACGGUAUCCCAUAAUCGUGGAUUAUUCUGGAUUAUUGCUUUUUUUUUCUUUCUUAUAUCAAUUCCAUUUUUUUUUUAUUCUGAAAUGUUAUUUUUUUAUUGAUUUUGAAAUUCUUUUUUUUUUUAUCGAUUCUGAAAUGCCUUUUUCUUUUUUUUUUUUAUCGAUUCUGAAAUGCGUUUUUUUUUCAUCGAUUCUGAAAUGUUUAAAUGGUUAACAAAGCGGUUAAAUAGUUAGCCAGGAGUCAUGAGCUGUAUGCAGCUCGGCCCCCCCCCCCCGGCCCAGGCCCAUCAGAUUGUUAGAAAUUAAGGGCCGAAGCACCUACCAGGGUAGGGUUUCUAUUCUCUGAAGACCUUCUGCUGAUCAAGCUCUCUUGAGAUAUACUUAUCAGGUUUUCUUUUAUCGAUCCUGCAAAGAUGAAAGGCAGAGCUGACUUUGGCCGUGGAAUGUCAGGAAAUAUCGCAACUCCGCUAAUUCGCUACUAGCGAGUAAUACAUACAAACGUGUGUGCGCGGGCACACACACACACACACACACACACACACACACACACACGCAAACACAUGCAAAAACACACACAACACAGACACGCGCACACACGCAUACACACGCGCAAGCACACACAUACACACAUGCACACAUAUACAGACAUGAUAAUACAUACACUAAUGUACACAAACACACACCCACACGCUGACACAAGCGCGGGCUAAUCCACAUGCCUAAACCAUACACAUGUAUUAAUACACACGUCAACACACACACACGCACACUCUCUCUCCCUCACACACAUACACACACACACGCUGUAUAGCGCCCCAUACACAUUAACCCACGCACACACUCACAAAGACACACACACACACAAACGCUCGCUGCGCUCCCUAUGCUAAGGCUCACAAAUACACUUUAACACACACACAUAUCGAUUACAUUACACACACACACACACAAACGCUCGCUGCGCUCCCUAUGCACAUUAGUCCGUGCACACACACACACGCAAAGACAACAGGCAAACAGACUUACACACACGUAAACACACACAUUCAUACUAACGCUCACAAAGACACUCUAACACACACACACACACAUACACACACAUACACACAUGCACAUACACAAACGCCUGCUAGCACCCCCAUACACAUUAACUCAAGCACACACACACAAGCAAAGACAGACAGACGGGGACACACACACGCACACACUCAUACAGACACACACACACAUACACGCACACGCACACGCACACACUCACACACACACGCACGCACACACAUACGCACGAGGUAUAGCGCCCCCAUACACAUUAACCCACGCACACACACGCAAAGACAGACAGACAGACAAACACACACACACACACGCACACAAACAAACACUUGCUAGCGCCCCCCCAUGCACAAUAACCCACGCACGUACGCGCAAAGACAGACAGACGGACACACACACACACACAAACACAAACACCCCCCCACACACACACACACGUACACACACUCACUAACGCUCACAGACACACUGCUUCAGACCAACGUCAUCUGUUCAACCGUUGUCGUCAUCUCGGGGAAACUUUGUCGUCACUGUUAAUUAUCGUCACACCACUGUCUUUACUCUCUUACUAUAGUUGUAAUAUAUAUUUAUAUAUAUAUAUAUGUACUAUAGUAUACUUUUAAUCUUAUAUAUCUAUAACUUAUUUCAGUCAUUAGUCUGCGGCCAUGCUGGGGUAACGCCUUGAAAAAUUUAGUCCAACGAAUCGACCCCAGUAAUUAUAAUAAUAAUAAUAAUAAUGAAAAUAAUAAUAAUAAUAAUAAUAAUAAUAAUAAUGAUUAUGAUAAUAAUAAUAAUAAUAACUGGGCCCCACCUGCAAGGUCAUGUGCUGUUUAUCUUGAUACGAGAUCACCAUGUCGCGCACAUAUGGUUGUGAUGCAUGUGCCUGGUGUACCUUUAUCAGACGGGUAGUCAUGAUGGGUAUAUUGGGCUUCGUAUAUUUUACCCCAGUGUCACUUUGAUGGCAUGCACUGCUCUCUCACUCAAUAAUGAUAAUAAUAAUAAUAAUAAUAAUAAUAAUAAUAAUAAUAAUAAUAAUAAUAAUAAUAAUGAUAAUAAUAAUAAUAAUAAUAAUAAUAAUAAUAAUAAUAAUAAUAAUAAUAAUAAUAAUAAUAAUAAUAAUAAUAAUGAUAAUGAUAAUAAAAAUGAUAAUGAUAAUAAUAAUAAUAAUAAUAAUAAUAAUAAUAAUAAUAAAAAUGAUGAUGAUGAUGAUGAUGAUGAUGAUGCUGAUGCUGCUGCUGCUGAUGAUGAUGAUGAUAAUAAUAAUAAUAAUAAUGAUAAUAAUAAUAAUAUACUGAAUAAUAAUAAUAAUAAUAAUAAUAAUAAUAAUAAUAAUAAUAAUAAUAAUAAUAAUAAUAAUAAUAAUAAUAAUAAUAAUAAUAAUAAUAAUAAUAACAACAAUAAUAAUAAUGAUAGAAGCAAAAAAAAGGAAGAGUGCCAUUGUCAUCAAGUGAACCAUAUUUCGACAUCUCGCGUGUCUUCCACAGGUUCAAAAAAUAAACGUGUCAAUCUACUUCCUUUUCUGUUGUGUCUGGGGAGAGUCACUUUCUUUUUGUGCCUUAUAAUAUAACACACUCACCGGUAAAAUAUCCACUUAUUUCUUAUUUUUAUUUUUACCUAAAACUUUCGUUGCGUCUUGCAACCUUAUCAAUUGUCUUGACUCUGUCCGUUAUUUACUUCAUUUUGGUCAAUAUUUAUAGGACUGAGGUAACUCGUCCAGAAGAUAUAUUCUUUGCUUCUAUAUUUUCUUGUGGAGUUACCUCAAUCCUAUAUAAAUUAAUAAUAAUAAAAAUAAUAAUAAUAAUAAUAAUAAUAAAAUAUUAAUAAUAAUAAUAAUAAUAAUGAUAAUAAUAAUAAUAAUAGUAAUAGUAGUAGUAGUAGUAGUAGUAGUAGUAGUAGUAGUAGUAGUAGUAAUAGUAGUAGUAGUAGUAGUAGUAGUAGUAGUAGUAGUAAUAAUAAUAAUAAUAAUAAUAAUAAUAAUAAUAAUAAUAAUAAUAAUAAUCCUUUCUGCUGUAGGCACAAGGCCUGAAAUUUCGGGUGAAAGGGGCUAGUCGACUACAUCGACCCCCAGUGUUUCACUGCUACUUAAUUCAUCGUACCUUAGUUUGUAGGGAGUCAUUCACUAUCCACAUCAUACCUACCAGGAAUAUUUCCAAAUCUGAGCCAAACCAAUAAUAAUAAUAAUAAUAAUAAUAAUAAUAAUAAUAAUAAUAAUAAUAAUAAUAAUAAUAAUAAUAAUAAUAAUAACAAUAACAAUAAUAAUAAUAAUAAUAAUGAUAAUGAUAAUGAUAAUAAUAAUAAUAAUAAUAAUAAUAAUAAUAAUAAUAAUAAUAAUAAUAAUAAUAACAACAAUAAUAAUAAUGAUAGAAGCAAAAAAAAGGAAGAGUGCCAUUGUCAUCAAGUGAACCAUAUUUCGACAUCUCGCGUGUCUUCCACAGGUUCAAAAAAUAAACGUGUCAAUCUACUUCCUUUUCUGUUGUGUCUGGGGAGAGUCACUUUCUUUUUGUGCCUUAUAAUAUAACACACUCACCGGUAAAAUAUCCACUUAUUUCUUAUUUUUAUUUUUACCUAAAACUUUCGUUGCGUCUUGCAUCCUUGUCAAUUGUCUUGACUCUGUCCGUUAUUUACUUCAUUUUGGUCAAUAUUUAUAGGACUGAGGUAACUCGUCCAGAAGAUAUAUUCUUUGCUUCUAUAUUUUCUUGUGGAGUUACCUCAAUCCUAUAUAAAUUAAUAAUAAUAAUAAUAAUAAUAAUAAUAAUAAUAAUAAUAAUAAUAAUAAUAAUAAUAAUAAUAUAAUAAUAAUAAUAAUAAUAAUAAUAAUGAUAAUGAUAAUAAUAAUAAUAAUAAUAAUAAUAAUAAUAAUAAUAAUAAUAAUAAUAAUAAUAAUAAUAAUAAUAAUAAAAAUAUUCAGACAAAUACAUAACAAAAACACCAGGACUUACAAACACAUAUAACAUACAGAAAAUUGCACUACAAGGCACUGCACACAUCCUACGCAGAACACUUUCCAUACAAUAACCAUCAGAGCAUCACAACAAAUCACAGCACAUACCCAAGGCACACAGAGCUGCGCUCGGUAGUGAAGUGAAAGCACGCUAUAAAAAUAAAACUACUGAAUAAUAAUAAUAAUAAUAAUUAUAAUCCUUUCUGCUGUAGGCACAAGGGCCUGAAAUUCCGGGUGAAAGGGGCUAGUUGACUACAUCGACCCCCCAGUGUUUCACUGCUACUUAAUUUAUCGUACCUUAGUUUGUAGGGAGUCAUUCACUAUCCACAUCAUACCUACCAGGAAUAUUUCCGAAUCUGAGCAAAAACCAAAAUGAUAAUAAUAAUAAUAAUAAUAAUAAUAAUAAUAAUAAUAAUAAAUAAUAAAUAUUUUAAAAAGGAUUGACGUAACUCUUCACAAAGGUUAACAGUCAAGACGAAGGGCGUGAUUCGAUCGUAAGAUAUUUUAUUAGUUGAACGAUAUUUCAACAGUUUACGUCUGUCUUUGUCAAGAUCGAAAUAAGAAGUGAUAAAAAUUGAAAAUUACAGAAAUUUAAGUGUAAAACUGUAAUUUUCAAUUUUUAUUACUUCUUAUUUCGAACUUGACAAAGACAGACGUAAACUGUUGAAAUAUCUUUCAACUAAUAAAAUAUCUUACGAUCGAAUCACGCCCUUCGUCUUGAUAAUAAUAAUAAUAAUAAUAAUAAUAAUAAUAAUAAUAAUAAUAAUAAUAAUAAUAAUAAUAAUAAUAAUAAUAAUAAUAAUAAUAAUAAUAAUAAUAAUAAUAAUUAUUAUUAUUAUCAUUAUUAUUAUUAUUAUUAUUAUUAUUAGUUUUAUUAUUAUUACUUGGCAGAAUCGUUAGCACACCGGGCAAAAUGCUUUGCGGCAUUACGUCUGUCCUUACGCUCGGCGGAAUUCGAACCCAGAACAUAGUGGCCGACGAAAUACCUGUUUCUCUUCUACCCCCAAAGGGGCUAAACACAGAGGGGACAAAAAAAGGACAGACAAACGGAUUAAGUCGAUUAUAUCGACCCCAGUGCGUAACUAGUACUUAAUUUACCGACCCCGAAAGGAUGAAAGGCAAAGUCGACCUCGGCGGAAUUCGAACUCAGAACAUAGCGGCAGACGAAAUACCACUAAGUGUUUCGCCCAGCAUGCCAACAGUUCUGCCAGCUCCACGCCUUCAUAAAGGUUGCAUGUAUAUAUAUGUGUGAAUGAAUCUUUAUGUGCGUUGCUUGGGAUAUUUAUAUGGAUAUGCGAACGUAAUUGCAUGUGUGUAUAUAUGUACGCAUUUGUAUGUUUAUAUAUGUAUGUAUGUAUGUUUAUAUAUGUAUGUAUGUAUGUAUGUAUAUAUAUAUAUAUAUAUAUACAUAUAUAUAUAUAUAUAUAUAUAUAUACAUAUAUAUAUAUAUAUAUAUAUACAUAUAUAUAGGUAUGUACAUAUAUAUGUAGGUAUGUACAUAUAUGUACGUUUAUAUGCAUAUAUUUAUAUAUUAUUUACAUUAUAUUAUAUAGUACAUACAUACAUACAUACAUACAUAUAUAUAUAUAACAGCGAUAGAGAUGUGGAAAUGUAGCUGUGGUGCAUGUAUCUAUCGUACGUAUGUGUGUGUACCUUAACACCCGUUCAUGCCGUAGAUGGGCGUCAUACUCUAAAUAAUUAUAUAUUUUAUUAAUGAAAUCUUUCAGCGUUGUUGAACUUUGAAAUUUACAUCGCGUAUAAUUUCUACCCAGCCUACGCGCGCACACGCAUACACACAUGCACACACACACACACACACACACACACACACACACACACACACACACACACACACACACACACACACACACACACACACACACACACACACACACAAACACACAUAGACACAUAGACACACACAUACAAACACAGAGAGAGGCUCCCAUACAUAUAUUUACGUGUUCACAUCCGCACAUCUACAUACAUUCAACUAUACACAUCUGCAUAGGGAUGAACACGCAAGCACACACGAUGUUAAUUCACAAAUGCAACAUACAUACAUACAUACAUACAUACAUACAUACAUACAUACAUACAUACAUACAUAUGCGCAUACACAGGUAUACACACAUGCAAAUACGUUUGCAUAUCCAUGUGCAUGUCCCACACAACGCAUAUAAAGAUUCACUCAAACAUAUACACAUACAACCUUAAAAAAGCAUAUACAUACAAAGACGAACGCAGACACAGACUUACUUGCAUAUACACACAUAAAUUUACAGACUCACUGGUUUAUAACGCAUGUUAAUAUACAAACUCAUUGGUUUAUGAUGCAUAUACAUAUAGACACAUGAACAUAUACGCUCACAUAUACGUCGCAGUAUACCUUAUCUCUUACACAUAGACUAACGCAAACGCAUUCAGACGUACAUAGAUUGCAUAACUACACCUGUUCAUAUUUAGUACUAGCUUAAAGACUUUUUAGUUAGCUCCUGUAGAGGGCAAGUUGGGUCUGCGGUCCGAAACUAAGGAGAGCUAAAUAAGCAUGACUACAAUAUGUCUAUAAAGGCUAUAAGCCCAGGUGAUUAAAGAUGGAUGAUCGGGGGUUAAUGAUGGAUGAGAAUUAAUUCUGUAAUGCAAUCAUUCUAUCGUUACCAGUCCCAAGGUGAAUUCCAACUGUUGGCCAUUUUGCCCCCAAAAUUCACAUAGCCGUGUGCUGAGGAGAAUUCUGUAGAGUUUGGAUGGUCACCUCUGGAAACGUGAGUUUCAUUCAACAUUCUUAAACUGCCCUUAUUCAGGGACCUUUUGAGCGGGAUGGGUUACUCGACCAGAAGAACAUUCUAACUGGGCCCCACCUGCAAGGUCAUGUGCUGUUUAUCUUGAUAUGAGAUCACCAUGUCGCAC
rnacentral:lncRNA from 1 species